GGGAGUAGGUCAGACAGGGUUUUCACUGUCUAGAUUUAGCUGGUUAGAUUUUCCUCUAAAAUCUUAAGCAGAUGCUGAAUCCAUAAAGCCAAGGAGUGCUGAGGGCUGGAGUGGGUGGGCCCUCCCUCCCACAGCCCCAGGGAGAUACAUCUGGACUCCUGGGAAUCUGGAUUAAGAAAGUUGGGAUGAAAGAGGAGGACUGCUCAGGCCAGUUGUGAGCCAGGGAGAAUGUUCCAGUCUGGUUUUGGUCUGGUGGCUCCUAGAAAGGGAUGUGGCCCAGAAGUGGGACUCAAACAGAGAGAUGAAGUAGGGGAGGGGAGUCCUCCACGGGCAUCUCUCUCCUGGCGGCUGGAUAGCUUUACCCUAGGGUGGGGCCAGCCCUGACACCCUCAUCCCCUCCUCAGCCCAGCAGCCUCUAGAGCAGCGUGGUGCUCUCUUGAUGGCCAGGAAUCCAGAAUCUGCCCUUCCCCAACCUUGGUUUCUCCUUCUGUAAAGCAGAGUGAUGGCUGAGAAGUCCUCUCUAGCUGCAGAAGCCUGAGCUUCCCGGUGUCAGUCAGCUCUGCAACGUGGGAGCCUUGGAGGCGGGUGGCCUGGCUGUGCUUCAUAUGCCCAGGAGUGGAGAAGGAGGCUGAGAAGCUGGUUUCCCAGCUCUGAUCUCCACAGGCACCUCCUAUAACCCUCCUCUCACCCACCCCGCUACGGUCUGAGAGAUCUGAAAUAACCUUUCCCAGUGGGCAGGGUUGCCAGGGUUGAGGGGACAGCACAUACCACCCCCACCCAACCUGUUCGAGGGGCCCUGCAUGGCACGGGAUGAGUCCCUGCCCUGUGCAGCUGCCUGGCAGUGGCUGGGACAAGGAUCUUGCAGCCAGCACAGAGGCCUCUUCAAAGGCCUCUCCCUCUUGGCACUCCAGGCAAGGCAGGUGCCCGCUUCCCCAACACCUCCAGGCAGUGACCCUAGGGCAUGCCCCAGCAGGUCUCCGAGCAGCCACUGGGACCCGUCUCAGCACAUCCUGGCCUUUGAAAGUCUGAUAUCCUGAGAGGAGGGCAGGUUUUAGGGCCGCAGUUCCAGCCAGCGUCCCCAGCCUGGCUUCCCUGCCAUGGACUCAGUAGCUCGUGGGGCUUCUUACCACCCACCAGCCCCGCUGGGGUGCGGCCUGGCUGUGGGCAAAGGAGGACUUGCCUGGAGAUUUGAGAGAAGAUUCCUUCUACCAGGGCUGCUGAGGGGCCAGGCCUGCAUCAGGGGCUAGGCUCUGGCUGGGCCCGGAGGCUGAGACUAAGGCUUUCGACCCUGGUGCCUCCAUGUGGAUGCUGCCUCAGACAAAGGCAGUGAGCCUUCCCUGCCAAAGUGCCCAUCCCAUGGGCUCGGCCUCACUGGUCACUGUUAGCCCAUGAACACGUGUGGGCCUCGGUCACGUGGCUUUGAGGGCAGUCUGACCAGGCUAGACCACACGUGCCGUGACAGGGGGUGCCAUUCCCCUCGCAGGCUCUAAUGUGCCCACAUGUAGCCUGGCAGUCCAAAGACCAAGAAUCAACUUGCAAAUCUGCCAUUAAACUGCUGUGCGACUUCAGGCAUAUCACUGCCUUCUCUGGGCUUCAGUGUCCUUUUCAUACCUAGAAGUCUGCGGUCUGAGGCUCUUUGGGUUCAGACACACUGUUCUAGGCUUCUGUAGGGGACCUUGUGAUCUGCCGUGCCCCUCCUCCCUGUUCUUUUCUGUCCUCCCCACCCCACCCUCAGAAGCUGCUUGCUCUGCCCCCAGGACAGGAGCUUGACGGAUGAAGUGCAGCCAGCCACCCAGGUGCCAUUUCCAGUCUGACUUCCAGAAAUGUGCACCAUGUCCUAGAGCACAGACCCAUUGGCUGGAGCCUCCUGGGAGGGUUCAAACCAUCAGCUCUAUGAGAAAUGCCCAGAAAGGCUUUGCCGACUCCAUCCGUCUGUGGAGGCUGCCUGCCUCCGGGGUGGGAUGGGUGGUUUCUCCUCCAAUUCAGACCCAAGAGGUAGCCCCCGAGGGCAUGUACCUGGUGGGAAGCAGCUCAGGUACCCUUGGGGGUUGCAGGGCCCUUACGCAGGUAUUUCUCUCUCUCUCCUCUCUGGGGUGCGUGUGUGCGUGCGCGUGUGCGUGCCUAUGCUUUUCUCUGUGGGCACAUCAGGAUGCCCCUCGGAGAGCAUGUGCACGUGUCCCCACCUGAGCGAGCGUGUGUGUGUGCUCCUCUGCGUCCCAGGUUUGGACGUCUAGGGUUUGGUGUGCCUGUCUUCUGCCCUCCCUGAGCCCACAGGGUCAGUCAAUGUAUCUUCUACGUGCCUCUCCCUCUGCCUUCUCUCACAGUGCCCCCGGCUCCAGAGCUCAGGGGUAGGGGUUCUCCUGAGGGUGCAGGGGAUCCUUCUCAUCUCCUGGACCCUCCAGGGCACUCUGGUCCCUAUUCCCCAGCUCCUAGGCAGCUGAGCCGGGUCCCUUAGGGGAGGUGACCAGGAGCUUUGGUGCAGGGAGCUCUUGGUGGGGCAAAGGGCUGGACCCCUGCCAGGUCUGUGGACAUGGUUAUAUGCCCGGGAGAGGGGGGUGCAGGGCCCCAGGGAUGGCCCCCAAUCCCACCUCUGUUUAUUCUGUAAACUGCAACCUAUAAAUAACCUUUAGCAUUCCUAUUGUAACAAAAUUAAUUUUUAUGAAAUAAAUUAUAUUUCCUAGUCUAAUAAAAUCCGGGUUGCAUUU
rnacentral:lncRNA from 10 species